GAUCAUCCUCCUCUGCUACGUCGACGACGAUGGCCGCACGCCUCGCGCUGGUGGCGGCGCUCCUGUGCGCCGGAGCCGCGGCCGCGGCGGCGCAGCAGGCGAGCAACGUCCGCGCGACCUACCACUUCUACCGCCCGGCUCAGAACAACUGGGAUCUGGGCGCCCCCGCCGUGAGCGCCUACUGCUCCACCUGGGACGCCGGCAAGCCGUUGUCAUGGCGGUCCAAGUACGGCUGGACGGCGUUCUGCGGCCCCGCCGGCCCACGCGGCCAGGCGUCGUGCGGGAGGUGCAUCCGGGUGACCAACACGGGGACGGGGGCGCAGAUCACGGCGAGGAUCGUGGACCAGUGCGCCAACGGUGGGCUGGACCUCGACUGGGACACCGUGUUCGUCAAGAUCGACACCGACGGCAUGGGGUACCAGAGGGGCCACCUCAUCGUCAACUACGAGUUCGUCAACUGCGGCGACAACC
rnacentral:lncRNA from 1 species